CUGUUUUGGUUUCAUGUACCUAGAGGAAGUCAACAGCAGCUAUAGGCAAAUUUGUAAGGAUUUUAACAUUGAUAUUGAUAGUAAAGAUACACUGUUGGAGAAAAUAAAAUUGGAGUUGAAGGAGCUUCAGCAGCAAACAUCGCCUGGCCAAAGAAAUUGACAGCGUCCUCUCCUGCAAGUUAGUAGCUUCCUCACAGUUAGACCGGCUUCUCCUGCAUAAUGUCAUACUUAGGUCAGAGUUUGAGUGAUUUCAGGAUAAGCAGGUUGACUUGGAAAAUAAAAGCUUUGUUGUCAUAUUUCUUAGUUUUGUUUUUGGUUGGCUAGCCAUAGCUAAAUUGUCUAAAGGUCAUGCACAAGGUCACGGUCGGUCAUAUGGUCGGUGGACUCUGUUGUCCCAUCCUCGCCCGAUCUACCUUCUCCUCCGUGUGGUUCUUCAGCUUCACCUGUAGUUUCAGCGGUAGCGUCUUGCUGGUGGCCGUGAAUUUUUUGCCAACCGUGGUAUAUUUUAUGGCUCUUUCAAGGAAGCUUGGCAAGUCCGUGAAUUGGCUGGUGAUGACAGUGAGUGGUUUCGCUUAUUUGAUGAAGCCAUUCAGUGGGCUUCUUCUUUCCGGCUUAGACAUCUAUUUAUGACAGUAUUGUUACUAUGUGGUUUUACCAAUGAGUCAAGAUUGCUUGAUAAAUAUUGGCGGUA